AUGAGAAGCUUGCUUCUCUGAUGUUAGCGGCGGACGGGUGAGUAACACGUGGGUAACCUACCUAUAAGACUGGGAUAACUCCGGGAAACCGGGGCUAAUACCGGAUAAUAUUUUGAACCGCAUGGUUCAAUAGUGAAAGACGGUUUCGGCUGUCACUUAUAGAUGGACCCGCGCCGUAUUAGCUAGUUGGUAAGGUANNNGCUUACCAAGGCGACGAUACGUAGCCGACCUGAGAGGGUGAUCGGCCACACUGGAACUGAGACACGGUCCAGACUCCUACGGGAGGCAGCAGUAGGGAAUCUUCCGCAAUGGGCGAAAGCCUGACGGAGCAACGCCGCGUGAGUGAUGAAGGUCUUCGGAUCGUAAAACUCUGUUGUUAGGGAAGAACAAAUUUGUUAGUAACUGAACAAGUCUUGACGGUACCUAACCAGAAAGCCACGGCUAACUACGUGCCAGCAGCCGCGGUAAUACGUAGGUGGCAAGCGUUAUCCGGAAUUAUUGGGCGUAAAGCGCGCGUAGGCGGUUUCUUAAGUCUGAUGUGAAAGCCCACGGCUCAACCGUGGAGGGUCAUUGGAAACUGGGAAACUUGAGUGCAGAAGAGGAGAGUGGAAUUCCAUGUGUAGCGGUGAAAUGCGCAGAGAUAUGGAGGAACACCAGUGGCGAAGGCGGCUCUCUGGUCUGUAACUGACGCUGAUGUGCGAAAGCGUGGGGAUCAAACAGGAUUAGAUACCCUGGUAGUCCACGCCGUAAACGAUGAGUGCUAAGUGUUAGGGGGUUUCCGCCCCUUAGUGCUGCAGCUAACGCAUUAAGCACUCCGCCUGGGGAGUACGACCGCAAGGUUGAAACUCAAAGGAAUUGACGGGGACCCGCACAAGCGGUGGAGCAUGUGGUUUAAUUCGAAGCAACGCGAAGAACCUUACCAAAUCUUGACAUCCUUUGACCGCUCUAGAGAUAGAGUCUUCCCCUUCGGGGGACAAAGUGACAGGUGGUGCAUGGUUGUCGUCAGCUCGUGUCGUGAGAUGUUGGGUUAAGUCCCGCAACGAGCGCAACCCUUAAGCUUAGUUGCCAUCAUUAAGUUGGGCACUCUAGGUUGACUGCCGGUGACAAACCGGAGGAAGGUGGGGAUGACGUCAAAUCAUCAUGCCCCUUAUGAUUUGGGCUACACACGUGCUACAAUGGAUAAUACAAAGGGCAGCGAAUCCGCGAGGCCAAGCAAAUCCCAUAAAAUUAUUCUCAGUUCGGAUUGUAGUCUGCAACUCGACUACAUGAAGCUGGAAUCGCUAGUAAUCGUAGAUCAGCAUGCUACGGUGAAUACGUUCCCGGGUCUUGUACACACCGCCCGUCACACCACGAGAGUUUGUAACACCCGAAGCCGGUGGAGUAACCU
rnacentral:rRNA from 1 species